GAGGCUCACUUCUGAAUGAAAUCAUUUCUCUCUCUCUUGUUUGGAAGAGAGAAAUCGGCGAAUCUGAAACCUAGGAGGAGGAGGAGGAGGACGAAGCAGCAACAGCAACAAUGAGAGCCAAGUGGAAGAAGAAGCGUAUGAGGAGGUUGAAGAGGAAGCGUAGAAAGAUGAGACAGCGAUCCAAGUAGACCACCAAACAAACCCAUGUUCCCCCCCCCCCCCCCCAAUAAAAUCUCUCCUCCGCAGCUCUCUUCUCUGAUUCUUGUUUUUUUUCUUUAGUUUUGUCUUGAGACAUGUUUUUUUUUAUUAGUAAAACUUCAGUAUCGAGUUUAAACAUUCUGGGGAUGUAAUGUAAAAACUUGCUUUGCGCUAUAUCACAGAUCCUCCUUAUCUCAUGAAGCC